CUUUUUCAGUUCUCAGGCUCACACAGACAGCAUUCCAUUACUUACCACUACUGGAAAAUGGAAGAUAAUAACUAUGCAUUUCACGUACAUACAACCGAGGAAAUAUGGUCUGGAUAUCUUUACAAAUCUCCCCCGGAGAAUCAAUUCAAGUCCCUGAAAUCAUGGAAAAAGAGGUUUUUUGUUCUUCUAAAGCACAGAGACAACACAUACCAACUUAAGUACUACAAAAACGAAGAGAAGGACAAACCACUGGGAGACAUUGACUUGACUAAG